AUCGACCAUCCGUGCGCUGCGGUUCCAAGUGCGCCAUCCACACUGCUCUGACGACCGCUUGCUACGUGUUGGUCGCC
rnacentral:sRNA from 1 species